rnacentral:rRNA from 1 species
CCUACGGGCGGCAGCAGUCGAGAAUUAUUCACAAUGGGGGAAACCCUGAUGGUGCGACGCCGCGUGGGGGAAUGAAGGUCUUCGGAUUGUAAACCCCUGUCAUGUGGGAGCAAAUUAAAAAGAUAGUACCACAAGAGGAAGAGACGGCUAACUCUGUGCCAGCAGCCGCGGUAAUACAGAGGUCUCAAGCGUUGUUCGGAAUCACUGGGCGUAAAGCGUGCGGAGGCUGUUUCGUAAGUCGUGUGUGAAAGGCGCGGGCUCAACCCGCGGACGGCACAUGAUACUGCGAGACUAGAGUAAGGGAGGGGGAACCGGAAUUCUCGGUGUAGCAGUGAAAUGCGUAGAUAUCGAGAGGAACACUCGUGGCGAAGGCGGGUUCCUGGACAUUAACUGACGCUGAGGCACGAAGGCCAGGGGAGCGAAAGGGAUUAGAUACCCGUGUAGUC